GGGGAUUUUAUUGAUGACCGUUCCAAUUUUUAAAUACAUAUUUGAAGCCCUCAUUACACAUUGGGGAUCGUCAGAAGAAGGCAUCCACUUUUGCUACAGUUCUGGUUUGUAAGAAGUUGAAGCUUCAUCCAUGCGUGCAGCAGUAUGCAAAGGAAAUUGUAGUUCCCAGUGGCAAUAUCCAGCGCAGAUAUACUUUUCAAGAAACUUCGGUUUAAGUGCAAUUACCCCCUCCUGAUCAAAGGGAUUGCUCCAACAUUUUAAUGUGGCUUAAAAAAAAAUCAGAUUGUCUAUGAAAAACCAUGGAUAGAAAACAGAUACAUGUAGGGGGUUGUGGCUACAGUAAUUGAGUCUUUCUUGGUGUCCCCACAUUCAUAUAGUAUACGUUAACUUAAAUUAGCUUAAUUUUAAGUUCAUUAUAUCAUCUCAUCAGACCUAUAACAAAUUCACAUUGGUCAAUACCACAUAUAGAAAGUUCAGAACUUGUUUUUUUUAAUGUUGAUGUUCUCUAACAAUUUAACAGUUCGAUGUAGCAACGUAGACACAAUUUUCAAUUACUUGUCACGACAAUAUUGACCUCAAUUCGAUAGAAAAUACAACACAAUAGGUCCGACCACAACUAAGUGCUUGUUAGAGAUGUGAAAACAUUUUACUAGA